GGUUAAGCGACUAAGCGUACACGGUGGAUGCCCUGGCAGUCAGAGGCGAUGAAGGACGUGCUAAUCUGCGAUAAGCGUCGGUAAGGUGAUAUGAACCGUUAUAACCGGCGAUUUCCGAAUGGGGAAACCCAGUGUGAUUCGUCACACUAUCAUUAACUAAAUCCAUAGGUUAAUGAGGCGAACCGGGGGAACUGAAACAUCUAAGUACCCCGAGGAAAAGAAAUCAACCGAGAUUCCCCCAGUAGCGGCGAGCGAACGGGGAGCAGCCCAGAGCCUGAAUCAGUGUGUGUGUUAGUGGAAGCGUCUGGAAAGGCGCGCGAUACAGGGUGACAGCCCCGUACACAAAAAUGCACAUGCUGUGAGCUCGAUGAGUAGGGCGGGACACGUGGUAUCCUGUCUGAAUAUGGGGGGACCAUCCUCCAAGGCUAAAUACUCCUGACUGACCGAUAGUGAACCAGUACCGUGAGGGAAAGGCGAAAAGAACCCCGGCGAGGGGAGUGAAAAAGAACCUGAAACCGUGUACGUACAAGCAGUGGGAGCACAGAGCAAUCUGUGUGACUGCGUACCUUUUGUAUAAUGGGUCAGCGACUUAUAUUCUGUAGCAAGGUUAACCGAAUAGGGGAGCCGAAGGGAAACCGAGUCUUAACUGGGCGUUAAGUUGCAGGGUAUAGACCCGAAACCCGGUGAUCUAGCCAUGGGCAGGUUGAAGGUUGGGUAACACUAACUGGAGGACCGAACCGACUAAUGUUGAAAAAUUAGCGGAUGACUUGUGGCUGGGGGUGAAAGGCCAAUCAAACCGGGAGAUAGCUGGUUCUCCCCGAAAGCUAUUUAGGUAGCGCCUCGUGAAUUCAUCUCCGGGGGUAGAGCACUGUUUCGGCAAGGGGGUCAUCCCGACUUACCAACCCGAUGCAAACUGCGAAUACCGGAGAAUGUUAUCACGGGAGACACACGGCGGGUGCUAACGUCCGUCGUGAAGAGGGAAACAACCCAGACCGCCAGCUAAGGUCCCAAAGUCAUGGUUAAGUGGGAAACGAUGUGGGAAGGCCCAGACAGCCAGGAUGUUGGCUUAGAAGCAGCCAUCAUUUAAAGAAAGCGUAAUAGCUCACUGGUCGAGUCGGCCUGCGCGGAAGAUGUAACGGGGCUAAACCAUGCACCGAAGCUGCGGCAGCGACGCUUAUGCGUUGUUGGGUAGGGGAGCGUUCUGUAAGCCUGUGAAGGUGUACUGUGAGGUAUGCUGGAGGUAUCAGAAGUGCGAAUGCUGACAUAAGUAACGAUAAAGCGGGUGAAAAGCCCGCUCGCCGGAAGACCAAGGGUUCCUGUCCAACGUUAAUCGGGGCAGGGUGAGUCGACCCCUAAGGCGAGGCCGAAAGGCGUAGUCGAUGGGAAACAGGUUAAUAUUCCUGUACUUGGUGUUACUGCGAAGGGGGGACGGAGAAGGCUAUGUUGGCCGGGCGACGGUUGUCCCGGUUUAAGCGUGUAGGCUGGUUUUCCAGGCAAAUCCGGAAAAUCAAGGCUGAGGCGUGAUGACGAGGCACUACGGUGCUGAAGCAACAAAUGCCCUGCUUCCAGGAAAAGCCUCUAAGCAUCAGGUAACAUCAAAUCGUACCCCAAACCGACACAGGUGGUCAGGUAGAGAAUACCAAGGCGCUUGAGAGAACUCGGGUGAAGGAACUAGGCAAAAUGGUGCCGUAACUUCGGGAGAAGGCACGCUGAUAUGUAGGUGAAGUCCCUCGCGGAUGGAGCUGAAAUCAGUCGAAGAUACCAGCUGGCUGCAACUGUUUAUUAAAAACACAGCACUGUGCAAACACGAAAGUGGACGUAUACGGUGUGACGCCUGCCCGGUGCCGGAAGGUUAAUUGAUGGGGUUAGCGCAAGCGAAGCUCUUGAUCGAAGCCCCGGUAAACGGCGGCCGUAACUAUAACGGUCCUAAGGUAGCGAAAUUCCUUGUCGGGUAAGUUCCGACCUGCACGAAUGGCGUAAUGAUGGCCAGGCUGUCUCCACCCGAGACUCAGUGAAAUUGAACUCGCUGUGAAGAUGCAGUGUACCCGCGGCAAGACGGAAAGACCCCGUGAACCUUUACUAUAGCUUGACACUGAACAUUGAGCCUUGAUGUGUAGGAUAGGUGGGAGGCUUUGAAGUGUGGACGCCAGUCUGCAUGGAGCCGACCUUGAAAUACCACCCUUUAAUGUUUGAUGUUCUAACGUUGACCCGUGAUCCGGGUUGCGGACAGUGUCUGGUGGGUAGUUUGACUGGGGCGGUCUCCUCCUAAAGAGUAACGGAGGAGCACGAAGGUUGGCUAAUCCUGGUCGGACAUCAGGAGGUUAGUGCAAUGGCAUAAGCCAGCUUGACUGCGAGCGUGACGGCGCGAGCAGGUGCGAAAGCAGGUCAUAGUGAUCCGGUGGUUCUGAAUGGAAGGGCCAUCGCUCAACGGAUAAAAGGUACUCCGGGGAUAACAGGCUGAUACCGCCCAAGAGUUCAUAUCGACGGCGGUGUUUGGCACCUCGAUGUCGGCUCAUCACAUCCUGGGGCUGAAGUAGGUCCCAAGGGUAUGGCUGUUCGCCAUUUAAAGUGGUACGCGAGCUGGGUUUAGAACGUCGUGAGACAGUUCGGUCCCUAUCUGCCGUGGGCGCUGGAGAAUUGAGGGGGGCUGCUCCUAGUACGAGAGGACCGGAGUGGACGCAUCACUGGUGUUCGGGUUGUCAUGCCAAUGGCACUGCCCGGUAGCUAAAUGCGGAAGAGAUAAGUGCUGAAAGCAUCUAAGCACGAAACUUGCCCCGAGAUGAGUUCUCCCUGACUCCUUGAGAGUCCUGAAGGAACGUUGAAGACGACGACGUUGAUAGGCCGGAUGUGUAAGCGCAGCGAUGCGUUGAGCUAACCGGUACUAAUGAACCGUGAGGCUUAACCUU
rnacentral:rRNA from 1 species